GACAGAGGAUGCUAGCGUUGUUCGGAAUUACUGGGCGUAAAGAGCUCGUAGGCGGUUUGUCGCGUCUGCUGUGAAAACGCGAGGCUCAACCUCGCGCCUGCAGUGGGUACGGGCAGACUAGAGUGCGGUAGGGGAGAUUGGAAUUCCUGGUGUAGCGGUGGAAUGCGCAGAUAUCAGGAGGAACACCGAUGGCGAAGGCAGAUCUCUGGGCCGUAACUGACGCUGAGGAGCGAAAGCGUGGGGAGCGAACAGG
rnacentral:rRNA from 1 species